rnacentral:lncRNA from 1 species
UGCGCCCGCCUGGCCGCUCCGGGAUGCACGUGAACUUGGAGAAAGUCACGGAGCACGCCGGCCCGGUCCUCCGCGGCAGGGCGUGGGCGCACGCGGGCCCGCACACUCUCGUUGGCGUCCGGGACAAAGGUCUCCAGUGGCGCCAGCCGUGGACGCGUGACUCGAUCCUUCGGGCCACUCUUGCGUGGUGGGUCGUUGGAUGUAAGACUGCAGAAGCCCGGAGAGCGGUGGGUCCCGGGUUUGGGGCCUCGCCGUAAGCUGGCCAGAGGCCGUCCCACCCUGCGAAGAGUUGCGGGAGCGGCUCCGCACUGCCCUCGGCUGUUUCUGCGCGCCCAGGAGCCCAACGCAAGUCACCCCGGACUCCAGCCAGCGGCCGCGGGCAUGCCAGCGCAGCGCUAGCGGCGGCCAAGACGUGGUCUGGCAGGGCGGUGGACGUGUGCGCCGCGGGCAUGAUCAAGGUUGGAGAGGUUCAUACCUGUUGGUGGAGAUGUUAGAGAGGAGUGGAGAUAAAAACUUGAUGAAGUCCGACACAGCUGGCUGGGAGUGAACCUGGAUGCUCCUAAGGACCCCCCAGGAAAGUAAGCACCUGGCAUGUGUAUCAGAAGACCCCCUAUGGCCUCACACACAGGUAGUUUGUAGCUGAAUCCAGCCUUGAGGAGAAGGAGACCCCUGCUUCCUGCCUGCCCUGAGUGGCCUGGCCAGAGCCCAGGACCUGCCCCCACAAUGUUUGGCUUCGGCCAUGGCUGCCCUGGGCUUGGCACAGCCAGCUUUUGGCAAGGCAGCCUGGGAGCCCUGGCCCCUUACCCAGCUCACUUAUGCCUUGCUACCCUGCGAGGCUUUAUCACCAAGCAGACAGGGAGAGAGAGUGGCCGGACAUCACAAUCCGGAAAGCCGGCCACUUACACUGUACUUUUAGAGAGGAUGUCUUUGGCACGGGCGGGGUCAGCACUGAUGGGCCUAGAAAUAAUGUCUGUAUUGUGGCACUGGGUUUCUGAGUGGAGCCGUCAACAAGCACAGAUUUGAGUUAGGUCCUCCUGGAGAGGAAAGCCUCGGUCCUCCAAAUGCCCCUCAUACCCUUGACCUGCCCAAGGACCUUGGGCCUCCCUGGCUGAGCAUGGCAUAGAAUGCCAGGGUUUUACAGUGUCCAGCCAGUCUCCUGGCCGGGGUAGCCUGUGAUAUCAAGAAGCAGUCCAGGUGCUUGCUAGACGAGGCUGCUUAACUCCCAGACCCACAGGGCCAAUGGACCAGACCACCAAGGCUCUGACUACCCCAACACAGUCCCCCACCCCCCACCUCCCUACUCGCUAUGUAGUGGCUGCCUGGUUCAGCAUCUCGGCUCAGCAGGGAUCCACUGUAAGCCCCCUAAGAGCUUCCUGUGCCUGUUCACAAGCUCACAGUCUUCCUCUGCCUUCCCAGAGAUCAGAAGCAGCGCGCGUCCCAGAGCGCUACCAUAAUGAUGCCGUCCAGGUCCACAGUACAACCGGCUGCCUUGGUCAUUGCCGUAAUGACAGUACAUUCCAACUUCUCAAGGUAGGACAAUCCAGGGCAUGCUCUGGGAGGCCAGGAGUGACUGG